CAAGACCAACAACAACAACAACAACAACUGCGGCUGCAGGAGAUUGUACAGGUUGUUCUGAUCUGGACUUGGUCAUGUUGGCUCUGCGUGUGGCUGAACUCCUCCUGAUUACUGUGAUCACUGUUCUUCUCUUCAGAGCUCGAGGGAACCAGAGACCACCUGAUGACAUCACUGUGUAUUAUGAUGGAGAUGAAGGCUCAGUGAACUAUGAAAAUGUUGGAGAACCUUCUGCUUCUGUCAGACUCCACUGAUCAACAACUUCCACACAAACAUCCACUCAGCAGAUACAUUAAUCCACCGCUUUUAAUCAUUUCUAUAUUGUGCAGGUUUGCAGCAGGUAGAGAGAGAAACAGAGAGAGAGAUCAUCACUUGGGUUAAUCUUCAGUUUUUGCAAACAUGGAAGAAAAUAUUUUUUUUAUAGAAAGCUUCAUUUGUAUAAAGUUCUUCAUAUUUUUGAGUGCCUUUUCACUAGCAAGGACCACGCCACAACAGAAUUAGUUUGAACAUUUAAUGUGGAUUGUAUUGACAUGAUAUAUUGACAGAUGUAUGUGUAUGAGAGGGGUGGAGGUGAGAGAUGGCCGUCUUCUUUCAGGCUGGUCUGGGAGGUUGAUCGGGCGAGCGAGACUCAGAGUGGGGGUUCCGUCUCGGGUAUGAAUCCACCCGAACUUAUUACGGCCCCAGACUGUACCUGAAGUGAGAGAGAUGAGGGAGAGGCGUGUGCCGAGUUGGAUGGGAAGAAAUAAGGAAGGAGGGAAGGGAUGAGGAAGGAGGGAAGGGAUGAGGGUGAAUGGAUCAGGAAGGAGGGAAGGGAGGGUGGGAAGAAGGAUCUGAGGCAAACAGGGUGUGGUGAGGUGACCAGGUGUUAAGUAGGCUGUCAGGUAAUUGGAGGUGUGGUUUUAGACGUGGUCCUGCUCCCGAACCGAAGUUAAUACAUUAACUCCAUUAAAUGUCAGAAUAAUCAAAUUUGAAUCAUUAUGUCAAAUUAACUUUCAUGUCUUAUUGUUGCUUCAAUAUAUUUGAUUGAAUGUGUAUAUUUUACUUAAAGGAGGUCUAUUAUCCUCACUUUCACCAUUAAUCAUGUCAGUCUGGGACACCUGUUGAGUAGUGUUGUGAGAUGUGUAGCUCAAAAACCUUCUUAUUUAUGUCGGUAAAAUCUCUCAUAUCAGCCUCUGUGUGAAACGGUUCAUUUCAGCUGCUGUCUCUUUAAGACCGCCCUCUUCACGUGCCCACAUUACUCUGAUUGUCCAGCUUUGCUAAAAACUUCCUGGGGGCAGAACCAAUUAGCUGACGGGUGGGCAACUCCUUCAUCUUUGCUCCAUGCUUUGUUCUAAUCUAAUGUUUCAGUGGCAAAGUUUUACGACGUCCUUUAAGAUCUUGUUCAGAGCAGCAGGAAACCACGUCCGGGGAUUACACCAACAUCUGUGUAUCUUGUGUUUAAAAAACUUUGCAGAGGUUUAGUAUGAACAUCCAACAUGGUAACAUUAUAUGUAUGUUUUUAAAUAUGGAUCAGCAUCAUAGAUCUCUUUUUAUACUUUUCCAUCUUCAGUCUGUAAUAAUCAUGUCUUUAUAAAAUCAUAAUAAAAUGUCAUGCUUAA